CUGGAUUACCCAGGUGGAUCCAAUGUAAUCACAAGGGUUAUUAUAAGUAAAAUAGGGAGGCAGGAGUGUUAAGAGUCAGAGAAGAUGUGACUGCAGACACAGGUGUCCGAGUGCUGUGAUUGCUGGCUACAAGGAGACCACGAGCCCAGGAAGCUGGAAAAGGCAAGGAAACAGAUCCUCCCGCAGCGACUCCAGAGAAAACACUCCCUGUGGACACCUUGAUAUUAGCCCAUUGUGACCCAUUUUGAACUUCUCGCCUCCAGAACUUGAAGGCACUAAAUCUGUGUUGUUUUAAGUAGCCACAUUUGUAGCAAUUUGUUACAGCUGAGAUAGGAUGCUACUGCAGUCACUCAGCCAGGAUUCGCUGUGGGAGGAGCUCCAGGAAGGAGUGAAUCCCAGGAGCCAUCUUGAAUACCACAAAGGAUAUGUCUGCUUUUAAGACCACCUGUCAUCCCAGUGUUCUUUUGGGACAAGUCACCUCCAGUCCUCAUCUCUACUUUCUGAGAUACGGUUGCAAGCUUCAGCUGCAAGUCCUUCUCUGAACUUCCUCGAAGUGAGGAGCCUCUCAGUUUCUGACCAUCACCCCAACUGAUCAUCACCCCAACUACUCCUCACUGGCAUCUAGAAAAGACCACCACUGAGUCUUUCCUGAGUCACCACACUCAGGAGACAAAACUUGUUUGAGUAUGAACUAACCGUCGCUUGGUUUCCCAUGAAGCAAGAUUAGUAAAUGUUUCAGGAACAGUAGUGAAGAAUUGAGUUAAUUCUGCGGAACUCAACAUAAUUUCUUGCUUAUUUCAUUUCCGUUUUGAAGAUUUAAUCCCAUUCUUUAGAUUUAGUCAGCCAUUUGGUGAGUUCCAUUUCCCUACCUUCUGCUUACUAAAAGGUGCUCCUCAGGGUCUCAGGCAACAUGGCAAGGCAAUAAAGAGACAGAUAAAUCACAGUACCAGUCAUCCAAGGUGCUUAUGGUUUGG